UAUAAUAUAGCAAAAUUAAGUGCAUUGAUUUUAAGCAUCAAAUAUAAAGAAUUUUUUCUUUUAUUAUAA
rnacentral:tRNA from 1 species